UACGUAGGUCCCGAGCGUUGUCCGGAUUUAUUGGGCGUAAAGCGAGCGCAGGUGGUUUAUUAAGUCUGGUGUAAAAGGCAGUGGCUCAACCAUUGUAUGCAUUGGAAACUGGUAGACUUGAGUGCAGGAGAGGAGAGUGGAAUUCCAUGUGUAGCGGUGAAAUGCGUAGAUAUAUGGAGGAACACCGGUGGCAAAAGCGGCUCUCUGGCCUGUAACUGACACUGAGGCUCGAAAGCGUGGGGAGCAAACAGG
rnacentral:rRNA from 1 species